rnacentral:rRNA from 1 species
UUUAUGGAGAGUUUGAUCCUGGCUCAGGAUGAACGCUGGCGGCGUGCCUAAUACAUGCAAGUCGAGCGAACGGACGAGAAGCUUGCUUCUCUGAUGUUAGCGGCGGACGGGUGAGUAACACGUGGAUAACCUACCUAUAAGACUGGGAUAACUUCGGGAAACCGGAGCUAAUACCGGAUAAUAUUUUGAACCGCAUGGUUCAAAAGUGAAAGACGGUCUUGCUGUCACUUAUAGAUGGAUCCGCGCUGCAUUAGCUAGUUGGUAAGGUAACGGCUUACCAAGGCAACGAUGCAUAGCCGACCUGAGAGGGUGAUCGGCCACACUGGAACUGAGACACGGUCCAGACUCCUACGGGAGGCAGCAGUAGGGAAUCUUCCGCAAUGGGCGAAAGCCUGACGGAGCAACGCCGCGUGAGUGAUGAAGGUCUUCGGAUCGUAAAACUCUGUUAUUAGGGAAGAACAUAUGUGUAAGUAACUGUGCACAUCUUGACGGUACCUAAUCAGAAAGCCACGGCUAACUACGUGCCAGCAGCCGCGGUAAUACGUAGGUGGCAAGCGUUAUCCGGAAUUAUUGGGCGUAAAGCGCGCGUAGGCGGUUUUUUAAGUCUGAUGUGAAAGCCCACGGCUCAACCGUGGAGGGUCAUUGGAAACUGGAAAACUUGAGUGCAGAAGAGGAAAGUGGAAUUCCAUGUGUAGCGGUGAAAUGCGCAGAGAUAUGGAGGAACACCAGUGGCGAAGGCGACUUUCUGGUCUGUAACUGACGCUGAUGUGCGAAAGCGUGGGGAUCAAACAGGAUUAGAUACCCUGGUAGUCCACGCCGUAAACGAUGAGUGCUAAGUGUUAGGGGGUUUCCGCCCCUUAGUGCUGCAGCUAACGCAUUAAGCACUCCGCCUGGGGAGUACGACCGCAAGGUUGAAACUCAAAGGAAUUGACGGGGACCCGCACAAGCGGUGGAGCAUGUGGUUUAAUUCGAAGCAACGCGAAGAACCUUACCAAAUCUUGACAUCCUUUGACAACUCUAGAGAUAGAGCUUUCCCCUUCGGGGGACAAAGUGACAGGUGGUGCAUGGUUGUCGUCAGCUCGUGUCGUGAGAUGUUGGGUUAAGUCCCGCAACGAGCGCAACCCUUAAGCUUAGUUGCCAUCAUUAAGUUGGGCACUCUAAGUUGACUGCCGGUGACAAACCGGAGGAAGGUGGGGAUGACGUCAAAUCAUCAUGCCCCUUAUGAUUUGGGCUACACACGUGCUACAAUGGACAAUACAAAGGGCAGCGAAACCGCGAGGUCA